AAACCAUGCAUCAGGCAUUUUCUAAUUAGUUCCUUGAAAUGCUCCCAUGUUUCACAUAAUGUUUCAUCUUACGAUUACCUAAACAAUGUAAUGUCGUUCCUAAGCUU
rfam:Gossypium hirsutum cultivar TM-1 chromosome 12, whole genome shotgun sequence